CACAACACAACCAGGUUAACACAACACGACCAGGUAAACACAGCCAGGUUAACACAAUACGACCAGGUUAACACACACAACCAGGUUAACACAGCCAGGUUAACACAACACAACCAGGUUAACACAGCCAGGUUAACACAACACAGCCAGGUUAACACAGCCAGGUUAACACAACACGACCAGGUAAACACACACAACCAGGUUAACACAACACAACCAGGUUAACACAACAAAAAAGUUUAACACAAACAGGUUAACACAACACAACAAGGUAAACACAACAGAACCAGGUUAACACAACCAGGUUAACAAAACACAACAAGGUAAACACAACAGAACCAGGUUAACACAACCAGGUUAACAAAACACAACAAGGUAAACACAACAGAACCAGGUUAACACAAUGAGGUUAACACAACAAAACCAGGUUAACACAACCAGGUAAACACAACACAAUCAGAUUAACACAACACAACCAGGUAAACACAACACAAUCAAGUUAACACAACACUACCAGGUUAACACAACAAAAACAGUUCAACACAAGCAGGUAAACACAAGCAGGUUAACACAACCAGGUAAACACAACACUACCAGGUUAACACAACAGAACCAUGUUAACACAACCAGGAUAAAACAACAGAACAAAACCAGUUUAACACAAGCAGAUUAACACAACUGGGUUAACACAACACAACUGGGUUAACACAGCACUACCAGGAUAACGCAACACAAGCAGGUUAACACAAGACUACCUGGUUACCAUAACCAGAUUACCACAACCAGGUUAACAGAAUACAGCCAGGUUAACAAAACACUACCAGGUUAACAGAACACAACCAUGUUAACACAACACAACCAGGUUAACACAACCAGGUUAGCACAACACAACCAGGUUAACAGAACACAACCAGGUUAACACAACACAACCAGGUUAAUAGAACAUAACCAGGUUAACAGAACACAACCAGGUUAACAUAACACAACCAGGUUAGCACAACAUAACCAGGUUAACAGAACACAACCAGGUUAACAGAACACAACCAGGUUAACAGAACAUAACCAGGUUAACAGAACACAACCAGGUUAGCACAACAUAACCAGGUUAACAGAACACAACCAGGUUAACAGAACACAACCAGAUUAACAGAACACAACCAGAUUAACAUAACCCACCUGUAACAUGACCAUGCUAAAACCAGAGACCAAAGUGAAACUGUGAUGAAUGACACAAAACAUGAGAAUCUAAAGGUGUGAAUUAAUUUCAG